UACGGAGGGUGCAAGCGUUAAUCGGAAUUACUGGGCGUAAAGCGUGCGCAGGCGGUUUGUUAAGUCCGUUGUGAAAGCCCCGAGCUCAACUUGGGAAUUGCAGUGGAUACUGGCCGGCUGGAGUACGGUAGAGGAAGGUGGAAUUCCCGGUGUAGCAGUGAAAUGCGUAGAGAUCGGGAGGAACACCAGUGGCGAAGGCGGCCUUCUGGACCAGUACUGACGCUCAUGCACGAAAGCGUGGGGAGCAAACAGG
rnacentral:rRNA from 1 species